rnacentral:rRNA from 1 species
GAUGAACGCUGGCGGCGUGCCUAAUACAUGCAAGUCGAACGCCUCACUUCGGUGAAGAGUGGCGAACGGGUGAGUAAUACAUAAGUAACCUGGCAUCUACAGGGGGAUAACUGAUGGAAACGUCAGCUAAGACCGCAUAGGUGUAGAGAUCGCAUGAACUCUAUAUGAAAAGUGCUACGGGACUGGUAGAUGAUGGACUUAUGGCGCAUUAGCUUGUUGGUAGGGUAACGGCCUACCAAGGCGACGAUGCGUAGCCGACCUGAGAGGGUGACCGGCCACACUGGGACUGAGACACGGCCCAGACUCCUACGGGAGGCAGCAGUAGGGAAUUUUCGGCAAUGGGGGAAACCCUGACCGAGCAACGCCGCGUGAAGGAAGAAGUAAUUCGUUAUGUAAACUUCUGUCAUAGAGGAAGAACGGUGGAUAUAGGGAAUGAUAUCCAAGUGACGGUACUCUAUAAGAAAGCCACGGCUAACUACGUG